rnacentral:rRNA from 1 species
UACGAAGGGUGCAAGCGUUGUUCGGAAUUAUUGGGCGUAAAGGGCGCGUAGGCGGUGCUUUAAGUCUGUGGUGAAAUCUCUGGGCUCAACUCAGAGUCUGCUAUAGAAACUGCCGUGCUUGAGUGUGGGAGAGGUGAGUGGAAUUCCCGGUGUAGCGGUGAAGUGCGUAGAUAUCGGGAGGAACACCUGUGGCGAAAGCGGCUCACUGGACCACAACUGACGCUGAUGCACGAAAGCUAGGGGAGCAAACAGG